rnacentral:rRNA from 1 species
UACGUAGGGGGCGAGCGUUGUCCGGAUUCAUUGGGCGUAAAGAGCUCGUAGGCGGUCUGUUACGUCUGCUGUGAAAACCCUGGGCUUAACCCUGGGCUUGCAGUGGAUACGGGCAGACUAGAGGCAGGUAGGGGAGAAUGGAAUUCCCGGUGUAGCGGUGAAAUGCGCAGAUAUCGGGAGGAACACCGGUGGCGAAGGCGGUUCUCUGGGCCUGACCUGACGCUGAGGAGCGAAAGCGUGGGGAGCGAACAGG